AGAGUUUGAUCCUGGCUCAGGACGAACGCUGGCGGCGUGCUUAACACAUGCAGUCGAACGAUGAAGCCUUCGGGUGGAUUAGUGGCGAACGGGUGAGUAACACGUGGGAAAUCUGCCCUGAACUCUGGGACAAGCCUUGGAAACGAGGUCUAAUACCGGAUAUGACCGUGGAGCGCAUGCUCUGUGGUGGAAAGCUCCGGCGGUUCAGGAUGAUCCCGCGGCCUAUCAGCUUGUUGGUGGGGUAAUGGCCUACCAAGGCGACGACGGGUAGCCGGCCUGAGAGGGCGACCGGCCACACUGGGACUGAGACACGGCCCAGACUCCUACGGGAGGCAGCAGUGGGGAAUAUUGCACAAUGGGCGAAAGCCUGAUGCAGCGACGCCGCGUGAGGGAUGACGGCCUUCGGGUUGUAAACCUCUUUCAGCAGGGAAGAAGCGCAAGUGACGGUACCUGCAGAAGAAGCACCGGCUAACUACGUGCCAGCAGCCGCGGUAAUACGUAGGGUGCGAGCGUUGUCCGGAAUUAUUGGGCGUAAAGAGCUCGUAGGCGGCCUGUCGCGUCGGAUGUGAAAGCCCGGGGCUUAACCCCGGGUCUGCAUUCGAUACGGGCAGGCUAGAGUGUGGUAGGGGAGAUCGGAAUUCCUGGUGUAGCGGUGAAAUGCGCAGAUAUCAGGAGGAACACCGGUGGCGAAGGCGGAUCUCUGGGCCAUUACUGACGCUGAGGAGCGAAAGCGUGGGGAGCGAACAGGAUUAGAUACCCUGGUAGUCCACGCCGUAAACGUUGGGAACUAGGUGUUGGCGACAUUCCACGUCGUCGGUGCCGCAGCUAACGCAUUAAGUUCCCCGCCUGGGGAGUACGGCCGCAAGGCUAAAACUCAAAGGAAUUGACGG
rnacentral:rRNA from 1 species